rnacentral:sRNA from 1 species
CCGUCUUUGACCUGUUCGGGGGAGAUGAAGUGCACGUGGGUGUCGACCGCGCCGGCAGUGGCCACCAGGCCCUCGCCGGCGAUCACCUGGGUGCCGGUCCCGACGAUCAGCGCCGGGUCCACCCCGUCUUGCACGUAGGGGUUGCCUGCCUGGCCGAUCCCGACGAUCCGACCGUUACGAAUUCCGAUGUCGGCCUUGAUGAUUCCGAUGAUCGGGUCCAUCACGAUCACCGAGGUGAUGACCAGGUCCAGGGCGCCGUCGGCGUUGGUGAUCCCCGGGGUCUGGCCCAUGCCGUCCCGG